rnacentral:rRNA from 1 species
GACGAACGCUGGCGGCGUGCCUAAUACAUGCAAGUUGAGCGCUGAAGGUUGGUACUUGUACCAACUGGAUGAGCAGCGAACGGGUGAGUAACGCGUGGGGAAUCUGCCUUUGAGCGGGGGACAACAUUUGGAAACGAAUGCUAAUACCGCAUAAAAACUUUAAACACAAGUUUUAAGUUUGAAAGAUGCAAUUGCAUCACUCAAAGAUGAUCCCGCGUUGUAUUAGCUAGUUGGUGAGGUAAAGGCUCACCAAGGCGAUGAUACAUAGCCGACCUGAGAGGGUGAUCGGCCACAUUGGGACUGAGACACGGCCCAAACUCCUACGGGAGGCAGCAGUAGGGAAUCUUCGGCAAUGGACGAAAGUCUGACCGAGCAACGCCGCGUGAGUGAAGAAGGUUUUCGGAUCGUAAAACUCUGUUGGUAGAGAGGAACGCUGGUGAGAGUGGAAAGCUCAUCAAGUGACGGUAACUACCCAGAAAGGGACGGCUAACUACGUG